rnacentral:rRNA from 1 species
UACGGAGGGUGCGAGCGUUGUUCGGAAUUACUGGGCGUAAAGCGCGUGUAGGCGGCCUUCUAAGUCUGGUGUGAAAGCCCGGGGCUCAACCCCGGAAGUGCAUUGGAUACUGGGAGGCUGGAGUACCGGAGAGGAGGGUGGAAUUCCUGGUGUAGCGGUGAAAUGCGUAGAUAUCGUCAAGAACACCUAUAGCGAAGGCAGCUUACUAGGCUGUAACUGACGCUGAGGCACGAAAGUGUGGGGAUCAAACAGG